GGGAGCGCCGUCUGUGCCUCGCUGCCUGGAGUUUAUGCCCUGCCAUUAAUCCUUAAGGUCUGAUUCCAGCAAGCCCUCCAGACAUCACCAAAGCUGAGAAAAUCCUCUCGCCACCGUUUCUCUUCAAAAAGUCUAAGAAAGCUGAAAGCCCAACAGAGUAUAGCUGCCACCACCCACUCUAGACAUCACGGUGAGACUGUGAUGGCCAUAAGAUGGAUCUAAUGAUCGGAGGACCAGGAAGUGCUCGACUCUUUCCCAGCCUCCCAGUGCCUCACAGAAAAGAUCUCAGAGAUGGCAGAAGUGGUCUAUGUACAUGUGUAUGUGUUUUUGAUCACCUUUCCACGCAGAAAGCAUUGACUUCCCCUGAGUUAUUUUGAGCCGAUGGAUGUGUGUGGUGCUUGCCCAGGCCUAAGGUUCUCAGGACCAUCACUGAGAAGAACUUAUGAAGACCAGAAAAGCUCUCUGUAGACCUUGGUCCUCGGAAAGGGAACAGGUGCCGGGCCUGUUGAACGUGGAGCCCAUGUCAAAGGAACUGCAACAGGAAGAGCUGUGCCACCAUCGUUCUAAUAGCUGCUACUUGCUUUUCAAAACUUUCAAUCUAUUAUCCUACUACUUGUGUAGCAAGGCCAAUAAGAAGAGUUGCUUUUACGUUGAGCCUAACAAAUGCAGAGUUUCCCGAAGUCCGGGCCACGGAACACCAGUCACGUGGCAUCCUCUAGAAAAAGCAUGCUGAGUGCUCAGGAGAGUUUGGAGAACACUCUACCCACCUCGAAUGCAUUUAGGAAAGUCUCAGAAUCAGGCAAGAAAGAAACAUAUUCAUUUUUUAAAUCCCAAUAUUCCCCAAACUGGUUAGACCAUUCACAAUACCAAUGAACAUCUCACAGAACUUGAGAUUCAUGGAAAUGUCACCCAAGGAGCCCCAACGGCUCUUCUGAAUAAAAAGAAAAGGUAGCAUUAUCACAGAUGGUCAUUGCUUUAUAAUCCUUUGAAAAGUGCUGAUACAAACAUGAGGGUUAACUAGAGUGCUGGAUUAACCGGUCUCCCGCAGCCUUUGAUCAGGAUAACCAGUGGCAGUCGUGGGGUACAGAGCAGCACAGGAAGAAAAUACGAGUUAGGUCAAAGAAGGUUUAGGUAAGGUCUUGAGUGACGAGUUGAAUUUUUACAACUAUAGACACAAAGAAGAAGUUAGGGAUAUUUGGGACAUAUUGUAAAUCUUUUGAGGAAAAAUCCUAGUCUUCUCCUAGACUGUUCUUAACCACUCUUUUUG
rnacentral:lncRNA from 1 species